ACAUCCAGCGAACUUGGCAGAGAUGCCUUGGUGCCUUCGGGAACGCUGAGACAGGUGCUGCAUGGCUGUCGUCAGCUCGUGUUGUGAAAUGUUGGGUUUAAGUCCCGNAACGAGCGCAACCCUUAUCCUUUGUUGCCAGCGAUUCGGUCGGGAACUCAAAGGAGACUGCCGGUGAUAAACCGGAGGAAGGUGGGGAUGACGUCAAGUCAUCAUGGCCCUUACGAGUAGGGCUACACACGUGCUACAAUGGCGCAUACAAAGAGAAGCGACCUCGCGAGAGCAAGCGGACCUCAUAAAGUGCGUCGUAGUCCGGAUCGGAGUCUGCAACUCGACUCCGUGAAGUCGGAAUCGCUAGUAAUCGUGGAUCAGAAUGCCACGGUGAAUACGUUCCCGGGCCUUGUACACACCGCCCGUCACACCAUGGGAGUGGGUUGCAAAAGAAGUAGGUAGCUUAACCUUCGGGAGGGCGCUUACCACUUUGUGAUUCAUGACUGGGGUGAAGUCGUAACAAGGUAGGCGUAGCGAG
rnacentral:rRNA from 1 species